rnacentral:lncRNA from 1 species
GGGAAUGUGGUAAAUUUAUGUUGAGGAGUGAGGAAAUGAGUAUUGGAAGUAUUUAGAUAGUGUUGCCCCGGAGUAGACCCUGAUGCAUGUUGUGGCAUGUCAAGCAAAAUAAGAAAUUGUGCAUGUGACACAGGAGGCAAACUAGAAAGAUAUUCCAAAUUAUCGAUAGAAGAUAGAGGAGGUGGCAACCCGUUAGCCCAAGAUCGAUGCAUUUCUAUCAUUUGCUG